rnacentral:rRNA from 1 species
GGUAAACGCUGGCGGCGUGCCUAAAACAUGCAAGUCGAACGCGUACCUUCGGGUGCGAGUGGCAGACGGCUGAGUAACGCGUGGGUGACGUACCUGUUGGUGGGGAAUAACUGCCCGAAAGGGUGGCUAAUUCCGCAUACGCCUGCUUCUGCGUUGAAGUAGGGAAAGUCGCAAGACGCCGAUGGAGCGGCCCGCGUUCGAUUAGCUAGCCGU